AUCCCAUAAUGAGGACACUUAUGAAGUAAAUCCUUGAAUCGCUCCCAAGCCUCAUACAAAGACUCGUCAUCCAAUUGUUGGAAAGUUGUAAUCUUGUUCCUCAACUU
rfam:Gossypium raimondii chromosome 11, whole genome shotgun sequence.